rnacentral:rRNA from 1 species
CCCUACGGGACGCAGCAGUAGGGAAUAUUGCUCAAUGGGGGAAACCCUGAAGCAGCAACGCCGCGUGGAGGAUGAAGGCUUUCGGAUUGUAAACUGCUUUUGUAAGAGAAGAUUAUGACGGUAUCUUACGAAUAAGCACCGGCUAACUCCGUGCCAGCAGCCGCGGUAAUACGGAGGGUGCAAGCGUUACUCGGAAUCACUGGGCGUAAAGAGCGCGUAGGCGGGGGGUUAAG